ACGUUUUCAGUAGUUUAAGACAUGCAAAUCGUUGUUUCCAACGUCCUUUUUAUAAUUAAUAUUAUAAUGUCAAUGGGAUUAGGGGAUAAGGUGUAGAGGUGAGUAUGUUAAAUAAGAUACCCUAUAGUCUUCUUAGCUAGGAGAUAUAAAGUAAAGGAAAAUUUCUGCUGUGGGAUUCUAUUUAAUUUGAUUAGGUAGUUGAUAGGGUAACGGCCUACCAAGCCAACGAUCAAAAGUCAAGUUUGAAAGAACCUCUGGCCACAUUGGGGAUGAAAUCUCCCAAGUAGUAAUAACACUACCAGCAGUCGAGAAUAUUAGUCAAUGCUCGUAAGAGUGAACUAGCUAACUGAAAUCAUAGAAUUUCUUUAAAUUCAUGAUGUCGUAAGGGAAAAUAAUGAUAAUACCUUACUAUGAGUGUCGUCCAAAGCUGGUGCCAGAAGACUCGGUAAGACCAGAGACGCAAACGUUAAUCAUCAUAAACAGGCGUAAAGGGUUUGUAGGCAGCUUUUAUAAGGUUACGAUUGCAAAUAAAGGGUAAUCUACAUUGAAAGCUAGAAUCAAAAAGAGGUUAUAGUGUAUAACGCCUAGAGGAGGGCUGAUAUCCAUAGAUCCUAGGCAGAAUACUCAGGGCGAAGGCCACUCUCCAUUAAUGAUUGACGCUGAGAAACGAAGGUUAGGGUAGGAAAUAGGAUUAGAUACCCCGGUACUCCUUUCUGUAAACGAUGAAUGGUAGUCAUUAGUUUAAUUAAAUAACUAGAGGCGAAGUUAACACAAUAACCAUUCCGCCUUGUGAGUACUACUGCAAAGUAGAAAACAAAAAAAUUA
rnacentral:rRNA from 1 species